rnacentral:rRNA from 1 species
GUGGGGGAUAUUGCACAAUGGAGGAAACUCUGAUGCAGCAACGCCGCGUGAGGGAAGAAGGUUUUCGGAUUGUAAACCUCUGUUUUCGGUGACGAAACAAAUGACGGUAGCCGAAGAGGAAGCCACGGCUAACUACGUGCCAGCAGCCGCGGUAAUACGUAGGUGGCAAGCGUUGUCCGGAUUUACUGGGUGUAAAGGGUGCGCAGGCGGGAUAGCAAGUUGGAUGUGAAAUACCGGAGCUUAACUCCGGAACUGCAUCCAAAACUGUAAUUCUUGAGUGGAGCAGAGGUAAGCGGAAUUCCGAGUGUAGCGGUGAAAUGCGUAGAUAUUCGGAGGAACACCAGUGGCGAAGGCGGCUUACUGGGCUCUAACUGACGCUGAGGCACGAAAGUGUGGGUAGCAAACAGG